GCAGGCCUCAUGCGCGUAUGAUGAUUCUCAUCGCUAGAGACCUUGUCUUGACGAAAGCCCUCGCGCCGCCGCCUGCGGCUCUACUGCCCUGUAGAUACAUGAUUAUACGACGCCCCUCCACCGAUGGCGAUCAGCCGAACAUCUGCCGUCCGCGCACUGUACACACCGGCCGGUCGGCUUGCCAUCCCUAAGGAAGAAGCUCUACUGAUCAAUAUCAAGGGGCGACUUGUUGGUUCAAACAAGGCGGCACGGUGGGGUGGAAUCGUCGGUUUAAUUGGCUGAAUACUCGCACCCUGCAGACAACACGGGCACAGGUGAAAGGUCUAUGUCCGUCAGCGUGAGGGCGGGUCGCCGUAGCAGUAGCCUUUCUUGGUAGCAUGAUGAUGGGCGAUGAGAUCAGUCUGGUUUUGCGACGUCGACUAAUAAACCCUUUCUUCUCAA